GUUUUGUGACGACUUUCUGAGCAUUAGGAAGAGCCCCCAGCUCUGAUCCUAAAAGUCUGCUUCACCCACUGAGAGUGUUGUAAGUGAAGACUCCGUGUCGGAUUAUCGCAGGCAGAAUACAUCAACCUAAAUGCACAGGAACAGCUGAAGGAAAUAUAAAAAACAAGCCCGAGAACACAAGGAAGGAGUUUUGAACAGCAGCAGCCAUGCCUAUCAAAGAUCAAAGCUACAUGAAAAGUGUUCAGUAAAGGACUAUGCAAACACUGCUUGUUUAAAAGGAUCAAGCCUCGCCCAUAACAAUGAACAACACCCUAGCAUCCAGCACUUAUGUGUGUGCACGAUUAGGUGUGUGGUGCGGAGGCUGUGACACUUGUGUGGACUUCAGAGGACAACUGGGUGAAGUCACUUCUUUCCCAUCUUUAUGCUGUUUCCAGGACCAAACUGACGUCUUCAAGCUUGCUUAC